UACGUAGGCAGCAAGCGUUGUUCGGAAUUACUGGGCGUAAAGGGUGUGUAGGCGGCUAUCCAAGUUUGGUGUGAAAUCUCCCGGCUCAACUGGGAGGGUGCGCCGAAAACUGGAUGGCUCGAGUGCGGGAUGGGAAAGUGGAAUUCCUGGUGUAGCGGUGAAAUGCGUAGAUAUCAGGAGGAACACCGGUGGUGUAGACGGCUUUCUGGACCGCAACUGACGCUGAGACACGAAAGCGUGGGUAGCAAACAGG
rnacentral:rRNA from 1 species